rnacentral:rRNA from 1 species
UACGGAGGGUGCAAACGUUGCUCGGAAUCAUUGGGCGUAAAGCGCACGUAGGCGGCCUGUUAAGUCGGAUGUGAAAGCCCCCGGGCUCAACCCGGGAAGUGCAUUCGAAACUGGCGGGCUUGAAUAUGGAAGAGGGUCGCGGAAUUCCCGGUGUAGAGGUGAAAUUCGUAGAUAUCGGGGAGGAACACCAGUGGCGAAGGCGG